rnacentral:rRNA from 1 species
GCCCGCUACAGAAACUUAAAGGAAUUGACGGGGCCCGCACAAGCGGUGGAGCAUGUGGUUUAAUUCGAUGAUACGCGAGGAACCUUACCUGGGCUCAAAUGUAUGUUGACGUAUUCUGAAAGGGAUACUUCUUCGGACAAUAUACAAGGUGCUGCAUGGUUGUCGUCAGCUCGUGCCGUGAGGUGUCGGGUUAAGUCCCAUAACGAGCGCAACCCCUACCUUUAGUUGCCAUCAGGUUAAGCUGGGGACUCUAAAGGAACUGCCUACGCAAGUAGUGAGGAAGGCGGGGAUGACGUCAAAUCAGCACGGCCCUUACGUCCAGGGCUACACACGUGCUACAAUGGCCGAUACAGAGGGCAGCUACCUGGUGACAGGAUGCAAAUCUCCAAAGUCGGUCUCAGUUCGGAUCGGAGUCUGCAACCCGACUCCGUGAAGUUGGAUUCGCUAGUAAUCGCGCAUCAGCCAUGGCGCGGUGAAUACGUUCCCGGGCCUU